ACUCGAGUGGCGAACGGGUGAGUAACACGUGGGUGAUCUGCCCUGCACUUCGGGAUAAGCUUGGGAAACUGGGUCUAAUACCGGAUAGGAGCCAUCUUUAGUGUGGUGGUUGGAAAGUUUUUCGGUGUAGGAUGAGCUCGCGGCCCAUCAGCUUGUUGGUGGGGUAAUGGCCUACCAAGGCGGCGACGGGUAGCCGGCCUGAGAGGGUGUACGGCCACAUUGGGACUGAGAUACGGCCCAG
rnacentral:rRNA from 1 species